rnacentral:rRNA from 1 species
GACGAACGCUGGCGGCGUGCCUAAUACAUGCAAGUAGAACGCUGGAGGAGGAGCUUGCUUCUCUGGAUGAGUUGCGAACGGGUGAGUAACGCGUAGGUAACCUGCCUGGUAGCGGGGGAUAACUAUUGGAAACGAUAGCUAAUACCGCAUAAUAGUAGAUGUUGCAUGACAUUUGCUUAAAAGGUGCAAUUGCAUCACUACCAGAUGGACCUGCGUUGUAUUAGCUAGUUGGUGAGGUAACGGCUCACCAAGGCGACGAUACAUAGCCGACCUGAGAGGGUGAUCGGCCACACUGGGACUGAGACACGGCCCAGACUCCUACGGGAGGCAGCAGUAGGGAAUCUUCGGCAAUGGACGGAAGUCUGACCGAGCAACGCCGCGUGAGUGAAGAAGGUUUUCGGAUCGUAAAGCUCUGUUGUAAGAGAAGAACGAGUGUGAGAGUGGAAAGUUCACACUGUGACGGUAUCUUACCAGAAAGGGACGGCUAACUACGUG